rnacentral:misc_RNA from 1 species
CCUCCUUAAAAAAUAAUCGCUUAGGAUAGGCGUUCACACGAAUAACUUGCUUUUACCAAAAUCAUUUCUUUACAGAUUUGAGAUUAAGGAGCGUUCUUUAACAUUUUUAUAAGUUCAAUCAAGUCACAUCAUAGUGUCUUAGUUUUUUAAUUUAGAUAUGAAUGAUGUGCAAAUGUCACCAAACCCGUCAUGUUUUAGAACAUAAGUUUGGUGUACAUACUGCAAAGUAAUUUUGGCGAAUGACAAUAGAUACUUGAAGAACAUUAAUCAUUAAGUUGUUUGAUGUAAUAUGGUCAAGUCAAUUAAGCGCAUACGGUGGAUGCCUUGGGCAAAGGGCGAAAUUCUGCCAUAUAUUCCAUCACCACUGGCCGGCCCGCUUCAAGCCUUGCCUUCUAAAAGGGGGCCCAAAUUCCGCCCUUAUAAGUGAGUCCUAUUUACAAA